UACGUAGGGGGCAAGCGUUGUCCGGAAUUACUGGGCGUAAAGAGCUCGUAGGUGGUUUGUCGCGUUGUUCGUGAAAACUCACAGCUUAACUGUGGGCGUGCGGGCGAUACGGGCAGACUAGAGGUAUGCAGGGGAGAACGGAAUUCCUGGUGUAGCGGUGAAAUGCGCAGAUAUCAGGAGGAACACCGGUGGCGAAGGCGGGUCUCUGGGCAACAACUGACGCUGAGGAGCGAAAGCGUGGGGAGCGAACAGG
rnacentral:rRNA from 1 species